AACAUUCUCAUGUUUCAUAUGGCUCUUCUCUUUCCAUCGUUAGAGAGAAACUCUUGCGUCUCGCUUUUCUGGGACUUAUCCAAUUUCUCCCGCUCUUUGUAUCAUUGUACAGGUACUCCCCGAUAUACGCUAUCAAUGCGGACCGGAGGCAAUAGCGUAUCUCGAGUAUUAUCGAAAGCCAAAUUUCGAGGUUUUCAGUCAAAUUAUAGCUUAUUUUCGUAUAAUUUUGCAUGAAGUGGUAGGUUUUAGCCACUAAAUUAGUUAUUUGAUCUGAUUUCAACUGAAGAUUACAAUGUUAUAUGGUUUUUAAUAUUCAACCAAAAGGGAAUUUAUUUUCCAAUUGACAUUCCAUUUCUCAAAUUAGUACAAUUUGCUCAAAGAACUGUCAAAUUAAAAAAAAAGCGUAUAGCGAAAUCACGUAUUUCGAGUCUGGCGUAUAUCGAGGAAUACCUGUAUAUCCACACGAGGAAGGCGCUGCUUCGCGUUCUCAUGAAAAAGUGGUAGUGUGAAAUCAAGUUUGCAAGCAGAAGAAUCGCUUGAAAUCAAGUUUGCCAGUCGAUGCGUGGUCGUUUUUUCUCUCGCGAAACCACUACGAAAAAACUAUUUGAAAUCCACGAAAUUCUAUAGAACACACGCACGAACGGAAGUGAGCACGGACCACGAUAGAAACAAUAUUCAAUUGAUUGGAGUGCCGAAAACAACAGAACAAGAGAGGAAAGAAGGCAGGAACGAUCCUCCAACGUGCUAGCGCCUGGUAGAGGAGAAGCGGCAGGAAGGUAGAGACGAUCAUCCAGCGCGCUAGCGCAGCAUGUGAGAGCAGCGAGAGGGAGGCAAGCAGGAAGAAUUUUUAACGUGUGGACACCAUUCGACGAAGACAACGCUGGAUUAAAGGAAGAACGAGGGCAGGUAAGACGGGUACGUGUGUCUCUCGCACGGGUUUUCGGCAGUGUGAAUUGUGUGAGUAUUGAAAAGUGUAUGUGUGAGUAGAGGUAAAGAGGUAAAAUAAAGAGCGAAUGUGUAGAACGGAAAAAUGAGAGAGAGUCUGUGUUUGUUUUGGGAGAGAGGAGAGAAUGAAAGAUCGCGAUUUAGUUUUAAGCGUCGAUGUGUUCCAAACUAAUUUUUUGGAAUGUUAGAAACUGGCACUCUAACCAAA